ensembl:lncRNA
UGAGUACUGCAUGUAUGUCUUAUGAUGAAGUUAUAAAAAGACAUUCGUGUCUUUGGGCACUUUGUCAUUUUUAAUGCUAACUUUUUGUGUCACUUGUUUUUGGGAUGGAGAGAACAAGCAUCAUAUUCGUCCUUGUGAAAAGUGUCAAAUUGACAGCCUUGAAAACAAGUACUUAAUACAUCUCUGCGUCAAGCAGAACAGAAACACCCAUCCAAGGUGUAUUGAGAGGAGCCGUGGAAGACUUCUGGUCUACAGGAGGGCUGCCUGUGUGCUCCUCUGGUCCUACCUGCUUCAGACACUGGAGAGAGUCCUAGUGUAAAACAGGAGUCCUAGCAUAACAGUUGCAGCAUGGGCCAGCACAAGCUACUGCAAGCAUCCCAACAGCGUACAACCCAUGGUCCUGGCCAGCUCUCCAAUGUGAAAGUGAUCAACCACCGGAACACAUGACCAAAGGAAGAGGUCAUUCUCCAUCUCAUGACAUCUCCAAAUCAGGCUGUGCCUUAGCUCAAUGCAAAUUACUGGCCUCAUUACAGACGCAACUGCACAGAAUUUAAUGGCCUGUGAUGCACAGGAGGCUAUACCAGAUGAUCUAAUGAUCGCUUUUCACCUUAACCUCCGCGCAUCAGUGAAUAAAAGGAAUGAAUUCUGGUACUGCAGAAAGGUAUUGCAAAUUGGGAAAGGAUGAACUGGCGCUUUUGGCAUCCGAAGAGGAGUGAAGGAUGCUUCUAACAACUGGGAGCUUGUUCAGACUCUAGUAAUAACAUUAAAGAGCAAUAAAUGGAUUCAUUUUUGUAGCGAUUCCCAUUGCUAAAUUCUUUCCUACCAGCAGCCUUGGAAAACAAAAUUUCUUUAUUUCCUUCUGUGUAAAUUUAUGCUUUCAAGACACUCAUUAAAGUAAAUGAAUGCCUUCAUUUGCUAGCAAAUGAAGCAAAUCAUGUGGAGGUCCCUAUUAUUAUCUGUGGAAUAUAGUUAAUACUAAGCUCAGUUCAAAGUCCACUGAAAUUAGGAGGAGUCUCCACAGACUUUCUGCAGUGGAAGUUUGAUCUGGUUCAGUGACAUUUGGGCAGUCAUUAUGCAGUUUUCUUGUAUCUAGACACAGCAAUUAGAAUAGACAUCAGC